rnacentral:rRNA from 1 species
GACGAACGUUGGCGGCGUGCUUAAUACAUGCAAGUCAACUGAAGCAGUGGUAGCAAUAUCGCUGUGGAGGUGGCGCACGGGUGAGUAACACGUAGGUAAUCUGCCUUCAGGUCUGGCAUAACUCCGGGAAACCGGGGCUAAUAGCAGAUGAUGCAGCGGCUCGACAUCGAGACAGUUGUUAAAGCUAUGGCGCCUGAAGAUGAGCCUGCGUCUGAUUAGCUAGUUGGCGUGGUAACGGCCCACCAAGGCAACGAUCAGUAGCUGGUCUGAGAGGAUGAUCAGCCACACUGGAACUGAGACACGGUCCAGACUCCUACGGGAGGCAGCAGUAAGGAAUAUUGCUCAAUGGGAGAAAUCCUGAAGCAGCAACGCCGCGUGAGGGACGAAGGGCUUUUGCUUGUAAACCUCUGUAGUGAGAGAAAAAAAUCCCAAUCUUUGGGACAUGAUGGUAUCUCAAAAGUAAGCCCCGGCUAACUACGUG